rnacentral:rRNA from 1 species
ACCAUGCAGUCGAGCGGGGGAAGGUAGCUUGCUACUGGACCUAGCGGCGGACGGGUGAGUAAUGCUUAGGAAUCUGCCUAUUAGUGGGGGACAACAUCUCGAAAGGGAUGCUAAUACCGCAUACGUCCUACGGGAGAAAGCAGGGGAUCUUCGGACCUUGCGCUAAUAGAUGAGCCUAAGUCGGAUUAGCUAGUUGGUGGGGUAAAGGCCUACCAAGGCGACGAUCUGUAGCGGGUCUGAGAGGAUGAUCCGCCACACUGGGACUGAGACACGGCCCAGACUCCUACGGGAGGCAGCAGUGGGGAAUAUUGGACAAUGGGGGGAACCCUGAUCCAGCCAUGCCGCGUGUGUGAAGAAGGCCUUAUGGUUGUAAAGCACUUUAAGCGAGGAGGAGGCUACUUUAGUUAAUACCUAGAGAUAGUGGACGUUACUCGCAGAAUAAGCACCGGCUAACUCUGUGCCAGCAGCCGCGGUAAUACAGAGGGUGCGAGCGUUAAUCGGAUUUACUGGGCGUAAAGCGUGCGUAGGCGGCUUAUUAAGUCGGAUGUGAAAUCCCCGAGCUUAACUUGGGAAUUGCAUUCGAUACUGGUGAGCUAGAGUAUGGGAGAGGAUGGUAGAAUUCCAGGUGUAGCGGUGAAAUGCGUAGAGAUCUGGAGGAAUACCGAUGGCGAAGGCAGCCAUCUGGCCUAAUACUGACGCUGAGGUACGAAAGCAUGGGGAGCAAACAGGAUUAGAUACCCUGGUAGUCCAUGCCGUAAACGAUGUCUACUAGCCGUUGGGGCCUUUGAGGCUUUAGUGGCGCAGCUAACGCGAUAAGUAGACCGCCUGGGGAGUACGGUCGCAAGACUAAAACUCAAAUGAAUUGACGGGGGCCCGCACAAGCGGUGGAGCAUGUGGUUUAAUUCGAUGCAACGCGAAGAACCUUACCUGGCCUUGACAUACUAGAAACUUUCCAGAAAUGGAUUGGUGCCUUCGGGAAUCUAGAUACAGGUGCUGCAUGGCUGUCGUCAGCUCGUGUCGUGAAAUGUUGGGUUAAGUCCCGCAACGAGCGCA